rnacentral:rRNA from 1 species
CGCCAGACUCCUACGGGAGGCAGCAGUGGGGAAUAUUGCACAAUGGGGGAAACCCUGAUGCAGCGACGCCGCGUGAGCGAUGAAGUAUUUCGGUAUGUAAAGCUCUAUCAGCAGGGAAGAAGAUGACGGUACCUGACUAAGAAGCCCCGGCUAACUACGUGCCAGCAGCCGCGGUAAUACGUAGGGGGCAAGCGUUAUCCGGAUUUACUGGGUGUAAAGGGAGCGUAGACGGCGAUGCAAGCCAGAUGUGAAAGCCCGGGGCUCAACCCCGGGACUGCAUUUGGAACUGUGUGGCUGGAGUGUCGGAGAGGCAGGCGGAAUUCCUAGUGUAGCGGUGAAAUGCGUAGAUAUUAGGAGGAACACCAGUGGCGAAGGCGGCCUGCUGGACGAUGACUGACGUUGAGGCUCGAAAGCGUGGGGAGCAAACAGGAUUAGAUACCCCAGUAUGA